ACGUCAGACGCUCCGUGCGCUGUUGCCAUAGCGAUGCAUGUGGCGUUCUAAUGGGGCUGUGUAACAACAUUGCACCCGGCGUCGGCAGUGGUGACUGGUGAGCCAGCUAUCUGCGGAAGCUUCUGCCCCGGGAGUGACAGCUACAGUAAGCCUACAUCAAAUAUGGCGUGCUUACUGGGUGAUCGUACCUGCAUGGAAAGUCUGAGGAAGGACAUCACUGAUCUGCAGGGUACUGUGAUCGAUGUGUUCUCAAGAGUUGGCGCCGUGCGAUCACCCUCCUGGAAGUUCCCAGAUAAAAUAUCCUGUGAUCUAGACCUGGUACAGUUGCUGGACAGAUAUGAUUAUGUGGAGAACGAUGCAGAUUUCACACAGCUUUCACAUAUGGUUUUAUUGGAGCUUGUAAUUGACAGGUUGCUUCUACUUCUCCAAAGUUUCGAUGCUUACACUGAAUUGAUCAGCAGUGAUGGUCGUUUCACCCCAACUCGCGGUCCUGGACCCUCUAUGUCGGUUGGGCUAACGGUUCGGAAAUAUUGGAGCAGCAUGAUGAAGUUAGGAACAAUUUAUCAACAGGCACGAUCAUCAACCAGUGAUAACACAAGUGUGACUAAACACAAAGGGACUGCAAACGAGUCUUCCCAUUUAUGUUCCGAGAGCUACCGCCUUGACUGCACCCCGCAGGAAAUGUCUCUUUCCAUUGCAAAGGACACUCGCACUGUAGGCUCCCAAACAUUAGAGUCUGCUCUUGUACCCUGUGAUGCAUGUGCCAUUGCUCAAAGUAGCUUAAAAGAAGUUAGUGGUGCCAUCGUUAGUGUGUGUAGCAGUCAGAACCUGCCCUCCUCUCUCACAAAAAUUCAAGAAGUUUUGCCAGCUGUUGGAAUCUUGUCACCAAGUGAAAUGCGAUACUGGGCCAGUGAAGAGAGCAAGGACCUAGCUCGCAUUAGUAAGCAUCUGUCAGAGCUUACACAGGUCAUCCAACCUCUGAGGAGUAAGCUGGAAGCUGCAAAGCUUGAGAAUGAGAGACUGCAACAUAACAUGGAAAGCUGUAAGAGCCAGUUGCAGGCACAGAGAGAAGAGCUACAGAAACAGGCAAAGGAUAAUGAAAGGAGGAUACAAGAAAAGGGGCAGCAGAACCAGGAUGUGGUGGACAAGCUGGAACGGGACAAAGAGGAACUGAAGAAAGGGUCUGCAUUCCUAGAGGAAAGAGUUUCCAUUCUGAAAGAGGAGCUCAAAACACAACACUGUACAAUCCGAGAUCUGGAACUGGCAAGACAGAAACUUUUAGGUGAGAUGCAGAGCAUGGUGCACAAAGGAGAAGUGACCGAACUGGAGAAGAAAAUGAGUGAUUUGAAAGUGCACCUAAAAGGAACAUUGCAGAGACUGCAAGAAUCAGAGGAGGCUGUAUCUAAAGAGAGAGCACGUGGAGAGAGCCUUGAAAACCACAAAGAGUCCCUACAGGCGAAGCAAAAGUCCCUGUUGCAGCAAUUGGACAGAUUAUCCCAAGAGUGUGAGAAUUUGCGAGGCAAUCUGGGGGAUGCAGAUGAGGAAAGAGCAAAACUGGAAGGGCAGAUAGAACAAAUGGAGAAAGAGGAGGAAAACCUGAAGAGCCAAUUGAAGGAUCAACAGGAGAUGGUACAGGUGCUUCAGCAGGAGAAGGUGACCUUGGAGAUGUCUGUGUCUGAGGUGAAGAGGCAGCUCACUGAACUACAAGGAUGCCUCCAGGCGCAAAAGGAAAGAGAGAAACUAUUGGUAUCUUUCCCAGACUUACAUCCACUCCCAGAAUUUGAGAGCUCUGGGAGUAUUACUGAGGACAUGGAAAAACAGCUACAAUCCAACAGCAUCCGCAUCAGCAUUUUAGAGGAAGAAAACUCAAAACUGAGAGCCAGCCUGCAUAGACUAGGAGAGAUGAGCAGCCAAGGGCCACUAAAGAUAAUUCCCCAGACUCAGCUCUGGACUCAAUCACCAACUAGAGAGUCAUUGUCUCCGGAACCACAAGUUACUAAUAGCAGGAGCAGUGGCACAAAGCUUCCGAUUUCAAAACUAACUUCAGUGCCACUCUCCAGGGACACAAUAAAAGCCCAAGCUACCGCAGACCCAGAAAGAAAAGGCUCACACCAGUCUAUUAAGCUCUUAAAUUUCCCACCUCCGAAUUCGCCCAUAGCUGCUUACGCACGUGUCAAGCAAGUAAAGGGAAGAAACCGAACACCCAGCUUGGAUCGCAAGUAACUAGCAUACAAUCACAUGAAAGGGAUUAUGUCAUCAUAAUAAUAAUAGCUUCCUCACUCCUGAGACUGUUGCUGGUUAAAGUUACAGCUGCAAUAAAGUGCAAGUAACCUAGUGACAUACAUGUGGCUUGUUUCAGUCGGUAUCUCAGUAAAUUCAGAGACUAAUGAGGGCCAGUCCUUGUUUUUGAUGUGUUUUGGCAGAGGCAAGAAAUACCUUUUUGUAUUUGUCUGAGAUUCCGCCUAUCAGGACUUAUUAGACUAUUAUUAGACUUUUCCUGCCGGCUUCUGUGAUCCACAGCUCUGUCUGAAGAAGCAGCAGUUGAUCACUCUGCGUGAACAUGGGCUAUAUAAGUAACCCUCAGGCUACUCAGGAUAGCCAGUAGAGGCCAGUAAAUCUGGCCAGCACUCCCGCAAAGCGGAGGUAACACGUUUCCCGUCACCUCCCCCCAUGUGCAAUACACAAAACAUUGCAGAUGUAUGUAAACCAUUAGUUUCCGUACAUCUCUGAAUCAGGCUCUAUCUAAGGGGUCUAUUCAUGAAGCAUUGGAAAGUGAGGUAGAAGCGAGCCAGUGGUGAAGUUACACAUGGCAACCAAUCAGCAUUGAAGUAACAUUUAGAAUUUGCAUACUAUAAAAUUAUACAGAGCACCUGAUUGGUUGCCAUGGGCAACUUCUCCACUGGCUCACUUCUGCACACCUUUCACUGCUUCAUGACUAUACCCCUAAGAUGCUAAUAACGCCAUAAACACUACAUAACAUAAAUUAUCAUUUGUUAGAUGAAGAACAGGGCCCUCUCUACUCUCUUAUUUAUUUAUUAACAGUUUCUUAUAUAGCGCAGCAAGUUCCAUUACACUUCACAAUUGGAAACAACGGUGAUAGAACAAAACUGGUAAUAAUAGACCGUCAUAGAGGUAGGAAGGCCAUGUCUUAUGCCUGCAUCUCCUUCAACUGUACAUUGACCAUGAUGCUUUUAGUUGAGUUCUGGUGUCCACUAUGCUCCAACUCUUUGCACUACAAUUCCCAAGAUCCUUUAAGACGUUUACCGGGAGAACGCAAUGUCACUUCUGGCACCAGUUCUGGUGUUCAUGGCAUUCUGAUUCCUAGUACUAUAAUUCCCACGAUUCCUUGGGACGAAAAUCAGUAUAUCGUGAUGUCACUUCUGGUACGUCACUUCCGGUGGAUGUGGGGACACAUUACAGGAAGGAAGGUUUAUUCCGUAUAGAACUACAGAAUGGUUUAUGUGGAAACUACAUCUCCCAUGAUGCUUUUGCCCGAUGAAAUCGGGAUUGCUUAUGUACUGUAUUUUGGAGAUGUUCUCUAUGAAUUUGUGCCUCUUUUAUUUAUUUUAAAUGAUGAAUGCAUUCUUUAGAUUCAUUUGUUAUUUGAUUUUUGUGGAGUUCGAAUUGUUAUGUCUAAUUUAUGAUGUCAUUUCCUGCACUCUUCCUAUUGGCUACUUGUAUCAUAAAUACUAGGGCUCCCCACAGUACAGACACAUCUUGACAAAGGUCUGCCGAGACCAAAACAUGUUGAUGAUUUCUGUACUGUGAGCAGCCUUGAGGAAACACGUGUUAACUUAGCUCUACUGGACUUUUUUUUUUAAAGGACAGCUUUUUUAUCUGCAGUUUGUUUUUGUUUUUAAAGUAUUUUAAUUCCUUUUUGUGUAUGGUGAAAUUUUUUUUUGCAUGCUAUGGUAACAUUAAAAAAAUCUGUUUGAUUUUCAUACACAUGGGAAAUACUUUUUUUAUCGCCUGUUAUUCUGAGAGACAAUUUGGAACCAUUUCUGAUGGGAGAACACACUCAAUAAAAGAUACCUUGAUAGGAGUCAACUUUGCACAAUCCAUGAGAAACCCAGAGAGGAGACGCUGCUGACAGCUUUGGAGGCAGCAGCAGCAUUACAGCGAUGCUGCUGGGAAAGACAUCUAGUCAGGUCCUGCUUGCUGCUGGAGAGGCGAGAUCCAGGGGCCUGGAGGAAGUGCAUCAGGGCUAUGAGGAGCGGCCGUGGUGGUUCCCCAUGAGAGCCAUAGUUACAUCUACCUCCUGUGUGCCCUCACAUGACUUGAUGUUAUAUGUAUCAGCACAGAGGAAGCGCUAAGGCACUAUGUGGUACAGCCUGAUGGCGGCAGCUACAUCAUAUUAGACCCACAGCAGCAGCAUGCACAGUAUACAAGGAGGAGACCGCAUACAGAGACAUCCUUAAGUUUUUUUCUAGAUUAAUUCAGUGGCCCCCUCCAGGGGCCAGCGCCCCUAGGUAGCUGCCUAAAGCUGCCUAAUGGUAGAACCGUCCUGCCCAUAUCUUUAUCCCAGUACCCAGGUAACCCUCUUACUCCCCACUUGCUCUCCUUUAUGUCUGAACGCCCCUGCACCUCUUACUCUCUCCAUCCUUCUCUUAUCCACAUUUCCAGUAAUUCUUCAACACACCUGCUCAUUCAUUUAAAAAUAAAAUACAAAAAAAAUGGAUCUGCGCUAUAAUUACAUAACUGCCCUUGUAAAAAAUGUGUAAUAUAAAGUGUGUGGCAGGAACCGCAUGAUUCCACAUGAGGUUCAUGUGGAAUGGCAGGCUUUUGCAGGAUUGGAGCAGCAGCAACAGGUCUGAUGGAAUCCAGUCCCUGAGUCUGUGAUAAGCCACAGCUGGGCUAAUCACUUCAACUUGUCUACUACAUUUAAAAAUGUGUUUGUUUCAGUAGGUCAUUGCGCCUGAUGCCAGCAAGUGGCCAGGUGAUAGUUUGGGGGUCUGGGGUUACGUUAGGUGCCAUUUGGAAUAUGCACUGUUUGUGAUUACCAGAACUUGGAAGGUUAUACUGCUGUUUUAAGAACUGCCUGCAAAACCUGCACGUAAAGCUGUAUCCUGCCUGAGGUGGAAAUAAAGUGUGUUGGAUUAUA